rnacentral:lncRNA from 1 species
GAAGCAACUUCUUUAUGCAAGGAUUGGGUGGUACUGGACUUAUCAUGGAAAAGUUUUUCUUUCUCUGCUAUUAUUUCAUCCUUCUUCUUCAAUUCUUGCGACUUCUCACUAAUUGGAGACUUUUCAAAAUAAAAUUAAACAUAAUAAAAUCACAAGACUAGUUGAAGAAGAUGAAGAUUUGGGGAGUUUUUGGACUUUAGUGAAAAAAACGAUGAAGAUAAUCGAAGUGUAGAAUAUACGGC